UACGAAGGGGGCUAGCGUUGCUCGGAAUCACUGGGCGUAAAGGGCGCGUAGGCGGCCGAUCAAGUCAGGGGUGAAAGCCUGUGGCUCAACCACAGAAUUGCCUUUGAUACUGUUCGGCUCGAGACCGGAAGAGGUUGGUGGAACUGCGAGUGUAGAGGUGAAAUUCGUAGAUAUUCGCAAGAACACCAGUGGCGAAGGCGGCCAACUGGUCCGGUUCUGACGCUGAGGCGCGAAAGCGUGGGGAGCAAACAGGAUUAGAUACCCUGUAGUCC
rnacentral:rRNA from 1 species